rnacentral:other from 1 species
UUCGGGCUGCCCGGUUUGUUGGUCAAUCAUCCUCGGGGCCUUACCGAUUCUGAAGGGAGCUGUCCCUGUCCUCGCUCGUGGGCUUGGGCACACGGCGCCCACCUACGCUGUAGGUUCCAGGAUCGAUAAAACGCUGACGGCUGCGGCGGCUCGUUC